rnacentral:rRNA from 1 species
UGGUAAGUCCGCAACGAGCGCAACCCUUAUCCUUGUUGCCAGCGGUCCGGCCGGGAACUCAAAGGAGACUGCCAGUGAUAAACUGGAGGAAGGUGGGGAUGACGUCAAGUCAUCAUGGCCCUUACGACCAGGGCUACACACGUGCUACAAUGGCGCAUACAAAGAGAAGCGACCUCGCGAGAGCAAGCGGACCUCAUAAAGUGCGUCGUAGUCCGGAUUGGAGUCUGCAACUCGACUCCAUGAAGUCGGAAUCGCUAGUAAUCGUGGAUCAGAAUGCCACGGUGAAUACGUUCCCGGGCCUU